CUACUGAGGAAGGAGACCCACCAGUAAAGAGACGGUCUGGACCAGACCAAAAAUAUGGCGAUGACAUCAUGGAACUGGUCUUUGGAAAAGUUUUCCCUGAACCAACUCCGUUUCUAGAUGAGGACCAGUUUGAAGCCCACAUACUUCCCCUCCCUCAUCAUCAGGAAACAUCAAUCCGUAUCCUGAGGACAACAGAAGACGGCAGGAGGACAGGAACUCUGAGACCUAGACACCACCAGCACCGAGACACAAAGCACCUGUGUGCACAACGCCUGUUUAACUACUAAAGCCUGUUUAUUAUAUUGUUCUACUUAUUUGCUGUGAGGUUAAUACUUAGAAAAUUUAUAUAUUAAUGUAAACAAUAAAAAAAAUCACUGAUUGUAUGCUUUCUUUUAGAUGUAAUGGUCCAAACUCAGCCUUGUAGACAUUUAUUGCAUCCUGUAGGUAAAUACACAGAACAGGCUCAGAUCCAGGAUGACCCAGCAUGCUCUUCUUCCAUUCUGGCUGUUAGGGAUUUUAUCAAUAACUCAAUGCCUACUGAUGUUUCCACCUAACGGUAUUUAUUUAGAAUGCAGGUCAGAUUUAACUAUAUUUGUUAGCAAAGCAGACUGAUCUUGGGAAUUUCACUGCAGCACUGAUGUCCACCUCUCUGUACACAUUAGAGAGAAUUACCACAUUACAGCUAAACACACAUUUAAUAAAGAUAUAGGCUACGCAUUGCAGACAAUAAAAACAAAGUUGUAAGCAUUAGAAUUAUAAUGAUCACAUUAAAGAACACUUGGAGGAAU